GCGGAUAUCGUACAAGGGUAGUACCUUAGCCUUCCAAGCUAAAGAUGCGGGUUCGAGUCCCGCUAUCCGCU
rnacentral:tRNA from 2 species